CAGCAGCCGCGGGAAUACAGAGGGUGCAAGCGUUAAUCGGAAUUACUGGGCGUAAAGCGCGCGUAGGUGGUUCGCCAAGUUGGAUGUGAAAUCCCCGGGCUCAACCUGGGAACUGCAUCCAAAACUGGCGAGCUAGAGUAUGGUAGAGGGUGGUGGAAUUUCCUGUGUAGCGGUGAAAUGCGUAGAUAUAGGAAGGAACAUCAGUGGCGAAGGCGACCACCUGGACUGAUACUGACACUGAGGUGCGAAAGCGUGGGGAGCAAACAGGAUUAGAUACCCGUGUAGUCCCUGUCUCUUAUAC
rnacentral:rRNA from 1 species